CCUACGGGAGGCAGCAGUCGGGAAUAUUGGACAAUGGAGGAAACUCUGAUCCAGCAAUGCCGCGUGUGUGAUGAAGGCCUUAGGGUUGUAAAGCACUUUCAACGGUGAAGAUGAUGACGGUAGCCGUAGAAGAAGCCCCGGCUAACUUCGUGCCAGCAGCCGCGGUAAUACGAAGGGGGCAAGCGUUGUUCGGAAUUAUUGGGCGUAAAGGGCGCGCAGGCUGUUUGGAUAGUUAGACGUGAAAGCCCUGGGCUUAACCUAGGAACUGCGUUUAAUACUGCCAAACUAGAGAACUAGAGAGGAUAGCGGAACUCCCAGUGUAGAGGUGAAAUUCGUAGAUAUUGGGAAGAACAUCAGUGGCGAAAGCGGCUGUCUGGCUAGUUUCUGACGCUGAGGCGCGAAAGCGUGGGGAGCAAACAGGAUUAGAUACCCUGGUAGUCCACGCCGUAAACGAUGUGUGCUAGAUGUUGGAAGGUUACCUUGCAGUGUCGCAGCUAACGCGUUAAGCACACCGCCUGGGAAGUACGGUCGCAAGAUUAAAACUCAAAGGAAUUGACGG
rnacentral:rRNA from 1 species